AUAGGGGAUAGAAAUUCCUAUCCUGUCAAAAUAGACAUAGUACUGUAAGGGAAAGAUUAAAGAACUGGGUUAAGCACUAAAAAGCAAAGACAAGCCCUUGUACCUUCGGCAUAAUGCAUUCACUAGAACCAACUUCACACCGAGAGCUCUAGUCAAGUUUUCCAAAACCAGACGAACUACCCAAGAACAGCUGAAAGAGUACACUCACCUGCAUGGCAAAACAGUGAGAAGAUUCAUGUGUAGCAUUAACAAGCCUAUCAAGCCUGGUGAUAGCUAGUUGUCCAAGACAGAGUCUUAGUUCAACUUUAAACUUCCACAGAACUACUUAAUCUGCCUGUAAGUUUAACUGUUAAAGAGGGACAGCUCUUUAGACUCUAGGAAACAAUCUUCCCCCAGAGAGUAAAAAAUGCCAUCACCACAGUUGGCCCAAAAGCAGCCACCAAUCAAGAAAGCAUUUAAGCUCAACAUCUAACUAUCUUUAAUCUAAUCACCCUAACUCCUAACAUCACAUUGGACUAAUCUAUUACUCAAUAGAUAGAAGCAAUAGUGUUAAUAUAAAUAACACAAAAACAUUCUCUAUUGCAUAAGCUUACAUCAGACUGGAAUAACCCACUGACAGUUAACAGGCCAAUAUUAAUAAAUGAUUUAAUAAACAUCUUAUUACCUUCACUGUUAACACAGGCAUGCUCUAAGGAAAGAUUACAAAAAGUCAAAGCAACCUGGCAAACCUUACCCCGCCUGUUUACCAAAAACAUCACCUCUAGCAUUACUAGUAUUAGAGGCACUGCCUGCCCAAUGACAAAUGUUUAAUGGCCACAGUACUUGACCGUUCAAAGGUAACAUAAUCACCUGUUCCCUUAAUAGGGACUUGUAUAAAUGGCCACAUGAGGAUUCAGCUCUCUCUUACUUUCCAUCAGUGAAACUGACCCAUCCAUGAAGAGGCAGAUAGAAAUAAAUAAGAUGAGAAGACCCUAUGGAGCGUUAAUAAUUAAUGCAAAUAAAACUCAAACCUACAGGCCCUAGCAUAUUAUCCCUGCAUUAAAAUUUUUGGUUGGGGUGACCUCAGAGCAUAAUUCAACCUCCAAAAUGACCUAAACUAAGACUGCACUAGUCUAAGUGAGCUAUUAUUUAUUGACACAAUAAUUUGAUCACUAGGAAUAACAGCACAAUCCUAUUCUAGAGACCAUAUCAACAAAAGAGUUUAAGACCUCGAUGUUGGAUCAGGACAUCCUAAUGGUGUAGCUGCUAUUAAGGGCUCAUUUGUUCAACGAUUAAAGUCCUAUGAGAUCUGAGUUCAGACAGGAGUAAUCCAGGUUGGUUUCUAUCUAUUUAGCAUUCUCCUAGUA
rnacentral:rRNA from 1 species